rnacentral:lncRNA from 1 species
UCAGCUUCUCUUGCAGCUCGUGCAGCUUCUGGCGCGCGCCCUCUUGGAGCUCUGCGCGCAGCGGCUCCACCUUCUGGCGGUAGAGCUCCAUCUCCUCCUGCCACUUCUUCUGGAAGUCGUCCAGGAUCCAAAUGGCAAACCUUCUUCAUCCACCAGGACCCAACCCACAGGCUACUUAUUGCUGGAAACCUACGUUGUUCCUUGGAUUGAAGUAAUCUCUCCCUCCUCUGGUGCGCCCACAGCACUUGCACCAACAGUGGGUACUCAACAGACUAGCGUGCCUGCCGAAGAAGGGGUCCUCUGACAAUCAGGGGACAAUGGGGAAUUAUGCUCUCCAGACUUUCUACACACACAAGUCACACAGGAAGGAAGGUAAAGAGAAACUAGAGAAAAUAAUUUUUGAAGAAAAACAUUUCAGGAAGUAUUGAAAGUACACGGUAACUCAGCCUGGGGCAGGGGUGGAGGGCAGCAGCACUGUUUGCUGCAGCUAUGCUCCUUCCUCAGUGCCCUGCACACCCGGGACUUGCUCGGUGAGCAUCUCUCGUGUCAGUGACAGCUAGUGUGA